CUCCUUGAGUGGGCGGAGCGGGAAGCGCGUGCGAGAAGCGCCAUUUCUGUUUCGGAAAAAAAAAAAAGAAAAAGAAAAGCGGUUCCUGAUGGAAGUCCAGGUUUUAAGGUCUAUUUAUUUAAAACUAAAGAUACUGAUGCAAAAACCUGGAGGUUGGAGCCAUCAGGUGUUUGGUGCAAAGGAAUCCUCAAGAAGUAAAACCGUGAGCAUCAUCAACAUGCUGCAGGGCUCGGCUGGUGGAUGCAGGGUAAUGGCUUCAGCAGCUCACAGAACGUGGAGGCGCGGCUGCCGGUAAUCCUGCAGAGAAUUGGGCCCAUUAUGGAGAAAGCAGUGCCACUGGCCUACCGUGAUCUGCAAUGUGGUGAGUGACCUCUAAAAAGCUGGCGAGGCAAUUAAGAGCAAAUGAAAACCGUAGAAAGAAGCUGAUUGGAUUAUUCUGACCGCCUCUGCAGUUUUUUUUUUUCUUUGCGUAGCUGGUGAAAUGAAGAAGAGACUAGUGGAGCACACUGAGAGAAACCUAUUUUUGCUUCAAUUACUGCUCAGUUGUUUUUUUUAGAAAGAUGAGAGGGGGUGCACUGCCGUGUAGCUGACAGAGCUGGCACAGGUUUGAUCUGUGAAGCAUCAAACCUUCAUCAGGCUUUAAAGGUCCGUGUCGUCAUCGGAGAAUUCCCCACAAAGCCAGCCGACUCAGAAGACUUUGUUGUUCACCUCAGCAGAAGACUGUAUGAAUACAGUCAGACGUACUGCAGCAGGCUGGAGGGGGGGUCUCCACGGUCCAGAACAGCAAGGUCAAAUGUUCAGACGGUGAAUAAUUCAUCACUUGAAUGCUUAUGCAAAUGUGUUUGCCUUUGUCCUGUGAGAUCAAACCGGAACACAUCUGUUCAAAUUUGCUGCAAAAGUUGGGCAGCCUGAGCGUCACGAGGUCCAACUGAAACCUGGAUCACUGUUGAUGUUUGGCACAAACAUUCCGUACUGAGUGAAAGUUGGAAGUGGUAAACUCAAAUGAAAAUCAUAUGUAAAUGUUUAAAAAAAAGAAGAGGAAAAGGAUCACUGCACACACUAAAGCAGCUGUUGGAGGAACCUGAACAGGUUUUCCUUUUAGGAAUCAUUCAAUCUGGUUUUUGAAAAGCAGCUGACCUUUAAGAUGGAGAGAAGCGGUCUCCGUUUUAAUGCAGUUCUUUAUUUACUUUAGAUUAGAAAUAUUGGGGGCCCUGGAGGUCUGGUGGUUUGGGACACGGGUAUGAUAAGCUCUCAGGCAGAUGGCCAGCUGACCCUCUGUAGAGCCCUUUAGCAAGGCAUUUUCCUCCAUUUGCUUCAGUAGAGCUGCUCAAAUGUCGACUAGUGAUGGUUCUUGACCUCUUCCAGAAACGAAUAGGAAACAUGAAACGAUGGUUAAAGUAAUCUAAGGUACCACUCUUCCACCUUAGAGCAUUUAAAAGGCUUAAUUUAUUCUCAAGAAAUUUAUAUUUGGAAUAAUUCUGGCUGAUGUUGAAAUGAUUUUGUGAGGUUUUAUGGCACUUGGUGUUAUUGCAAAUACGUUGAUGUGGCUAGCAUGCAGCAGUGUUUUUUUUUUUUUUUUUUACCUGUUACAAACAAGGUUGGAAGUUACUGCAGUCUCAGUAACGUUUGACUUUUGCAAUAGCCAUCUAUUUUUCUAUGUUUUGCAAGAAAAGUUGGGAGUAUUGUGAAUACAUUAGCGUGGCUAAUGCUUCUUACAGACAAGUUCAGAGUCACUGCGAACAUACAGAAUACACACAUAUUAGGAAGGAAAUGGGUCACUUUACUAGAGGUCGACCGAUGCCAAUAUCAAUAUCGGCAUUGGUGCUGAUAUUGGCUAUUUUGACACCUAUCGGUAUUGGCCUUUAAUUGAUUGAAUAUUUGAAACUGCUGUAGUGGAAUUGGAAAAAUAAAAUAUUACAUGUGCAGAAGUUGUCUUGAUUGAGGUCAUUAGAAAAAUAACAAUUAUAUCAACUACAGGCUCGCAGAAUGCUAAAAAUAGCACAAGUUUAGCACAUUGACAGCAUGUUGCCCAUUUUAUUUGUAUUUUUUUCUAAAUGAAUAUUGCAAAUGAUUAUCAGCGUAAAUAUCGGCUAUCGGCCAAUCAGAUUUUAAGAAAUACCUGUAUCGUAUCAGCCUUGAAAAAAAACAUAUCGGUCUAUCUCUACACUCUACCCAUUCAGUUCAAAUUCGAUUUUUAGAUGUUUCGGUUCAAUAUAUAAUUUACAAAACAGCAGCAAAC